rnacentral:rRNA from 1 species
ACACAUGCAAGUCGGGCGGCAGCGCGGGGGCAACCCUGGCGGCGAGCGGCGAACGGGUGAGGAAUACAUCGGAACGUACCCGGAAGUGGGGGAUAACGCCGCGAAAGCGGCGCUAAUACCGCAUAUUCUGUACGCAGGAAAGCAGGGGAUCGCAAGACCUUGCGCUUUCGGAGCGGCCGAUGUCGGAUUAGCUAGUUGGUGGGGUAAAGGCUUACCAAGGCGACGAUCCGUAGCUGGUCUGAGAGGAUGAUCAGCCACACUGGGACUGAGACACGGCCCAGACUCCUACGGGAGGCAGCAGUGGGGAAUUUUGGACAAUGGGGGCAACCCUGAUCCAGCCAUGCCGCGUGCGGGAAGAAGGCCUUCGGGUUGUAAACCGCUUUUAGUCGGGAAGAAAAGGGCGAGGCUAAUACCUUCGUCACUUGACGGUACCGGCGGAAUAAG